rnacentral:rRNA from 1 species
GAAGGAUCAUUACAAAAGGAGGAGUCUCCUACCGUAGCAGCAGGCCCGCCUGCUGCUCGACGACCACGGCCCCCUCCCCGGGGGUACCCCCCAACCCUUGCGGACUAUACCUUUGUUGCUUUGGCGGGCCGCAUCGCGCCACCGGCGUUUGCUGGUGAGUGCCCGCCAGAGGCCCCAACUCUUGAUUUUAUAGCGUCUGAGUACUAUAUAUAAUAGUUAAAACUUUCAACAACGGAUCUCUUGGUUCUGGCAUCGAUGAAGAACGCAGCGAAAUGCGAUAAGUAAUGUGAAUUGCAGAAUUCAGUGAAUCAUCGAAUCUUUGAACGCACAUUGCGCCCCGUGGCAUUCCGCGGGGCAUGCCUGUUCGAGCGUCAUUAUGACCAAAUCACGCCAGGCGUGGUCUUGGGGCUGGCAGCUCUGCCGCCCUCAAACGUAGUGGCAGCGCCGGGUGGCUCUUAGCGUAGUAAUACUCCUCGCUAUAGGGUCCGUCGGUCGCCCGCCAGCAACCCCCCCAAUCUUUCUAGGUUGACCUCGGAUCAGGUAGGGAUACCCGCUGAACUUAAGCA